rnacentral:tRNA from 1 species
GCCCACCAUGGGCGACUUGACGGCGCCGGGAUGGUUCUCGGCGGUCGGCGCGGCCGGUGCGGCGGCGGCGGCGGGCU